rnacentral:rRNA from 1 species
GACGAACGCUGGCGGCGUGCUUAACACAUGCAAGUCGAACGGUAAGGCCCUUCGGGGUACACGAGUGGCGAACGGGUGAGUAACACGUGGGUGAUCCGCCCUGCACUUCGGGAUAAGCCUGGGAAACUGGGUCUAAUACCGGAUAGGACCACUGCCUGCAUGGGUGGUGGUGGAAAGCUUUUGCGGUGUGGGAUGGGCCCGCGGCCUAUCGGCUUGUUGGUGGGGUGAUGGCCUACCAAGGCGACGACGGGUAGCCGGCCUGAGAGGGUGACCGGCCACACUGGGACUGAGAUACGGCCCAGACUCCUACGGGAGGCAGCAGUGGGGAAUAUUGCACAAUGGGCGCAAGCCUGAUGCAGCGACGCCGCGUGAGGGAUGACGGCCUUCGGGUUGUAAACCUCUUUCAGCACCGACGAAGCGCAAGUGACGGUAGGUGCAGAAGGAGGACCGGCCAACUACGUGCCAGCCGCCGCCGUAA